rnacentral:rRNA from 1 species
CGGCAACAUCAUGUUGAAACACCUGUUCUCAUAUGAUCUCUAAAGUUAAGAAACGUCGAGUCUAGUCAGUACCUAGAUGGGUGACCGCUUGGGGAUACCAGGUGCUGUAAG